rnacentral:rRNA from 1 species
CAGGCUUAACACAUGCAAGUCGAGGGGCAGCAUGUUCUUAGCUUGCUAAGGCCGAUGGCGACCGGCGCACGGGUGAGUAACACGUAUCCAACCUGCCGUCUACUCUUGGACAGCCUUCUGAAAGGAAGAUUAAUACAAGAUGGCAUCAUGAGUCCGCAUGUUCACAUGAUUAAAGGUAUUCCGGUAGACGAUGGGGAUGCGUUCCAUUAGAUAGUAGGCGGGGUAACGGCCCACCUAGUCUUCGAUGGAUAGGGGUUCUGAGAGGAAGGUCCCCCACAUUGGAACUGAGACACGGUCCAAACUCCUACGGGAGGCAGCAGUGAGGAAUAUUGGUCAAUGGGCGAGAGCCUGAACCAGCCAAGUAGCGUGAAGGAUGACUGCCCUAUGGGUUGUAAACUUCUUUUAUAAAGGAAUAAAGUCGGGUAUGGAUACCCGUUUGCAUGUACUUUAUGAAUAAGGAUCGGCUAACUCCGUGCCAGCAGCCGCGGUAAUACGGAGGAUCCGAGCGUUAUCCGGAUUUAUUGGGUUUAAAGGGAGCGUAGAUGGAUGUUUAAGUCAGUUGUGAAAGUUUGCGGCUCAACCGUAAAAUUGCAGUUGAUACUGGAUAUCUUGAGUGCAGUUGAGGCAGGCGGAAUUCGUGGUGUAGCGGUGAAAUGCUUAGAUAUCACGAAGAACUCCGAUUGCGAAGGCAGCCUGCUAAGCUGCAACUGACAUUGAGGCUCGAAAGUGUGGGUAUCAAACAGGAUUAGAUACCCUGGUAGUCCACACGGUAAACGAUGAAUACUCGCUGUUUGCGAUAUACUGCAAGCGGCCAAGCGAAAGCGUUAAGUAUUCCACCUGGGGAGUACGCCGGCAACGGUGAAACUCAAAGGAAUUGACGGGGGCCCGCACAAGCGGAGGAACAUGUGGUUUAAUUCGAUGAUACGCGAGGAACCUUACCCGGGCUUAAAUUGCAGAUGAAUUACGGUGAAAGCCGUAAGCCGCAAGGCAUCUGUGAAGGUGCUGCAUGGUUGUCGUCAGCUCGUGCCGUGAGGUGUCGGCUUAAGUGCCAUAACGAGCGCAACCCUUGUUGUCAGUUACUAACAGGUUCCGCUGAGGACUCUGACAAGACUGCCAUCGUAAGAUGUGAGGAAGGUGGGGAUGACGUCAAAUCAGCACGGCCCUUACGUCCGGGGCUACACACGUGUUACAAUGGGGGGUACAGAGGGCCGCUACCACGCGAGUGGAUGCCAAUCCCCAAAACCUCUCUCAGUUCGGACUGGAGUCUGCAACCCGACUCCACGAAGCUGGAUUCGCUAGUAAUCGCGCAUCAGCCACGGCGCGGUGAAUACGUUCCCGGGCCUUGUACACACCGCCCGUCAAGCCAUGGGAGCCGGGGGUACCUGAAGUGCGUAACCGCGAGGAGCGCCCUAGGGUAAAACUGGUGACUGGGG